UACAGAGGUCCCGAGCGUUGUUCGGAUUCACUGGGCGUAAAGGGUGCGUAGGUGGUGAGAUAAGUCGGAUGUGAAAGCUCGGAGCUCAACUCCGAAAUGGCAUUGGAAACUAUCUCGCUCGAGGGUUGGAGGGGGGACUGGAAUGCUUGGUGUAGCAGUGAAAUGCGUAGAUAUCAAGCGGAACACCAGUGGCGAAGGCGAGUCCCUGGACAACUCCUGACACUGAGGCGCGAAAGCGUGGGGAGCAAACAGG
rnacentral:rRNA from 1 species